AUACGGAGGGUGCAGGCGUUAUUCGGAAUCACUGGGCGUAAAGGACGCGUAGGCGGGUUGGCAAGUCAGAUGUGAAAUCCUACAGCUUAACUGUAGAACUGCAUUUGAAACUGCUAACCUAGAGUAUGGGAGGGGGAGAUGGAAUUAGUGGUGUAGGGGUAAAAUCCGUAGAUAUCACUAGGAAUACCGAAAGCGAAGGCGAUCUCCUGGAACAUAACUGACGCUAAGGCGUGAAAGCGUGGGGAGCAAACAGGAUUAGAUACCCUAGUAGUCC
rnacentral:rRNA from 1 species